UAUUGCACAAUGGAGGAAACUCUGAUGCAGCGACGCCGCGUGAAUGACGAAGGCCUUCGGGUCGUAAAAUUCUGUCCUUGGGGACGAUAAUGACGGUACCCAAGGAGGAAGCCCUGGCUAACUACGUGCCAGCAGCCGCGGUAAUACGUAGGGGGCAAGCGUUAUCCGGAUUUACUGGGUGUAAAGGGAGCGUAGGUGGUUUGGUAAGUCAGAUGUGAAAGCCCGGGGCUCAACCCCGGGACUGCAUUUGAAACUAUCAAACUAGAGUGCAGGAGAGGUAAGUGGAAUUCCUAGUGUAGCGGUGAAAUGCGUAGAUAUUAGGAGGAACACCAGUGGCGAAGGCGACUUUCUGGACUGUAACUGACGCUGAGGUACGAAAGCGUGGGUAGCGAACA
rnacentral:rRNA from 1 species